GUGCAGCAGUCGCGAAUAGUCUACAAUGGACGAAAGUCUGAUAGUGCGACGCCGUGUGUGCGAUUAAUUCCUUCGGGAUGUAAAGCACUUUUCUAUGAGAUAAAAGCUCUUUAGGUUAAUAGCUUAUUGAGACGGAUAUUAUUAUAGGAAUAAGCUCCGGCUAACUCCGUGCCAGCAGCCGCGGUAAUACAGAAGGAGCGAGCGUUGUCCGGAUUUACUAGGCGUAAAGGGCUAGUAGGCGACUAAUUAAGUUAUAUGUUAAAUCCCACGGCUCAACUGUGGUCCUGCAUGUAAUACUGGUUAGAUAGAGUACUGUAGAGGAAGGCAGAAUCCCUGGAGUAGCGGUGGAAUGCGCAGAUAUCAGGAAGAAUACCAAAAGCGAAGGCAGCUUCUGGGCAGUUACUGACGCUGAAUAGCGAAGGUGUGGGUAGCGAACAGGAUUAGAUA
rnacentral:rRNA from 1 species